CAUGUAGGCGGUGCUGCGCGUUUCGCGUGACAGCGGGUGGCUUAACUAUCCGAGGGUGCGAAAGACGGCAGGACUUGAGGGCCAGAGAGGGACACGGAAUUCCGGGUGGAGUGGUGAAAUGCGUAGAGAUCCGGAGGAACACCGAAGGCGAAGGCAGUGUCCUGGCUGGUGACUGACGCUGAGGUGCGAAAGCCAGGGGAGCGAACGGGAUUAGAUACCCCGGUAGUCCUGGCCGUAAACGAUGACCACCAGGUGUGGGAGGUAUCGACCCCUUCCGUGCCGGAGGAAACCCACUAAGUGGUCCGCCUGGGGAGUACGGUCGCAAGAUUAAAA
rnacentral:rRNA from 1 species